rnacentral:rRNA from 2 species
AUAAUGCAGUCGAGCGAACUGAUUAGAAGCUUGCUUCUAUGACGUUAGCGGCGGACGGGUGAGUAACACGUGGGCAACCUGCCUGUAAGACUGGGAUAACUUCGGGAAACCGAAGCUAAUACCGGAUAGGAUCUUCUCCUUCAUGGGAGAUGAUUGAAAGAUGGUUUCGGCUAUCACUUACAGAUGGGCCCGCGGUGCAUUAGCUAGUUGGUGAGGUAACGGCUCACCAAGGCAACGAUGCAUAGCCGACCUGAGAGGGUGAUCGGCCACACUGGGACUGAGACACGGCCCAGACUCCUACGGGAGGCAGCAGUAGGGAAUCUUCCGCAAUGGACGAAAGUCUGACGGAGCAACGCCGCGUGAGUGAUGAAGGCUUUCGGGUCGUAAAACUCUGUUGUUAGGGAAGAACAAGUACGAGAGUAACUGCUCGUACCUUGACGGUACCUAACCAGAAAGCCACGGCUAACUACGUGCCAGCAGCCGCGGUAAUACGUAGGUGGCAAGCGUUAUCCGGAAUUAUUGGGCGUAAAGCGCGCGCAGGCGGUUUCUUAAGUCUGAUGUGAAAGCCCACGGCUCAACCGUGGAGGGUCAUUGGAAACUGGGGAACUUGAGUGCAGAAGAGAAAAGCGGAAUUCCACGUGUAGCGGUGAAAUGCGUAGAGAUGUGGAGGAACACCAGUG